GAGACGCUUAUGGCAAUCAGGUUAGCAUCCUUCUGUGAAAUAAAUGGAAAUUACCCUUAAUUGUGUCAGUAGCUCAAUGAUCAGUUAUUGAUUAAAAGGGAAAGAGUUUAAAGACUGAAUUUCUGAAAACCCUUUUCAGGAAUAUUCAAGAAUUAAUUAAAAUGAUCAACUAAUUGCUCCCAUUUGUAUCUGAAUGAUCAGGUUUAUGUUCCCAGAAUAG
rnacentral:misc_RNA from 1 species